rnacentral:rRNA from 20 species
CAUAUCAAUAAGCGGAGGAAAAGAAACCAACAGGGAUUGUCUUAGUAACGGCGAGUGAAGCGACAAAAGCUCAAAUUUGAAAUCUGGCACCUUCGGUGUCCGAGUUGUAAUUUGAAGAAGGUAACUUUGGAGUUGGCUCUUGUCUAUGUUCCUUGGAACAGGACGUCACAGAGGGUGAGAAUCCCGUGCGAUGAGAUGUCCAACUCUAUGUAAAGUGCUUUCGAAGAGUCGAGUUGUUUGGGAAUGCAGCUCUAAGUGGGUGGUAAAUUCCAUCUAAAGCUAAAUAUUGGCGAGAGACCGAUAGCGAACAAGUACAGUGAUGGAAAGAUGAAAAGAACUUUGAAAAGAGAGUGAAAAAGUACGUGAAAUUGUUGAAAGGGAAGGGUUUGAGAUCAGACUUGGUAUUUUGUAUGUCUUGCUUUCGGGUGGGGCCUCUGCAGUUUACUGGGCCAGCAUCGGUUUGGACGGUAGGAUAAUGACAUUGGAAUGUGGCACUACUUCGGUGGUGUGUUAUAGACUUUGUUGAUACUACCUGUCUAGACCGAGGACUGCGUCUUUGACUAGGAUGCUGGCAUAAUGAUCCUAAACCGC